rnacentral:misc_RNA from 1 species
CGCACAUUGCGCCCACCAGCAUUCUGGCGGGCAUGCCUGUUCGAGCGUCAUAUCAACCCCUUGGGCCUUCGCCGCCCAGUGUUGGGAGGCCGCGCCCGCGACAGCGGCGCGCCUCCCUAAAUUCAGUGGCGGAGCCGGCUCGCGCUCUAGACGUAGUAGGUCUCUAUCUCGUCUGCAGUGCGCGCCGCCCUCCGGCCGUGAAGCCCCAUACGUACCACUUAGGUUGACCUCGGAUCAGGUAGGAAUACCCGCUGAACUUAA